rnacentral:rRNA from 1 species
CAAUAUAAGUGAUGGCGACCGGCGCACGGGUGAGUAACACGUAUCCAACCUGCCGAUAACCCGGGGAUAGCCUUUCGAAAGAAAGAUUAAUACCCGAUGGUAUAAUAAAACCGCAUGGUUUAAUUAUUAAAGAAUUUCGGUUAUCGAUGGGGAUGCGUUCCAUUAGGCAGUUGGUGAGGUAACGGCUCACCAAACCUUCGAUGGAUAGGGGUUCUGAGAGGAAGGUCCCCCACAUUGGAACUGAGACACGGUCCAA